AAGUCGUAACAAGGUUUCCGUAGGUGAACCUGCGGAAGGAUCAUUAGUGAAUAAUAGGGUGUCUAAUUUAACUUAGAACCCGACCUUCUCACAUCUAACCCUGUGCAUCUGUAUUUAAUGGCGAGCAAUCUUCGGAUUGUGAGCCUUCACUUUAUAAACACUAGUCUAUGAAUGUAUUUAAUUUAUAACAAAUAAAAACUUUCAACAACGGAUCUCUUGGCUCUC
rnacentral:misc_RNA from 1 species